rnacentral:lncRNA from 1 species
UGCCCUAUAUUAAUGUCCUAAAUCAAAAUAUAAGGCAUGUGAAGCAAAUCAAUGCUCCAACAAUGUCCUAGUGGUGCCUUAAAACACUAGGACAUGUAACAAUUGCCUUAUUUUUGAGGCACCAAUAUGCAUGCCCUAUUCAAUAAAAAAAUAGUUUCCUACCAUUCCACUACAUCUCUCUCUUCUCUCCUUUUCAUUUCCCUCCAAUAACAAUUUAAAUAUAUUAAUAUUUUAAUAAUAAGGCACAAUAAUGAGGCAUGUUGUUGGAGUUGAUAUAUGAAGAUGAUGUCCUAAAUCACUAGGACACAUUAUUUUAUUAUAUUUAUAGGGCAUUUGCUAGGACAUUGUUGGACUUGCUCUAAG